ACUCAUCUGAGAAAAUACAGUAUACAUAUUCUUCUCUUUGAUCCCACUUGUAGGAUGUUGUUCAGCAGAACAAUACUCUAAUAGAAGAAAUGCUAUACCUCAUUAUAACGCUUGUUGGUAAGCGAUUUAGUCCUGGGUUUGGACAGGUGAAUGCUACAGAUGAAAUUAAGCAGGAGAUUAUCCGUCAAUUGAGCAUCAACCCUAUGGCUCACAGUGAAUUGGUAAAGUCUUUACCUGAAGAUGAGAACAAGGAGACUGGCAUGGAGAAUGUCACUGAAACAGUUGCCCAUUUCAAGUAAGUUUUCUUCCCGUUACUUCACAUUUUGUAGAGUUUAUCUGAUUUGGUUUAGGGAGGCUUUUGUUUGUGUUUGUGUGUAUGUUUAUUUAUUUGUUUGUUUUGUUAGUGAUAUUGAACAUUGAACCUAGGGAGCACUGAGCUACAUCUCAAGGCCUUUUUUAUCUUGAGACAAGGUCUUACUAAGUUGCCCAGGCAGGCCUCAAACUUGCAACAUUUUCAUGUUGCUGGGAUUACAGGUGUGUGCCACUGUGCCUAGCU
rnacentral:lncRNA from 1 species